rnacentral:lncRNA from 1 species
GGCUGGUGAGAAGUAAGCAAGCAAUCCAGCAUUCACGUGAAACUUGGGAGGUGCUGUAGUUUGGAGCCCACGGUCCAACUUCCUCCACAAAGUCCAGCAUCUUGGGACGACCUGCAGGAGAACUCCUUGCUUGAUUCAUUUGGGCUGGAGACGCUGUCACGUGGGGCAACAAGGCUGUAACAUCUAGCACUCCAGCACGUGAAAGAAGACACGCUUCAUAUGAUCCAGCAAAUAAAAUAGGAGCUGUUGGCUUCAUGGGUUGUUGCCAUGUCUACAUGAGAGGCUGCAACACUCCUUCAUCCAGCAAAAACUGAAGCAAGGAAUUAGAUCCACCGAGUGCAGCACGUUCCAACUGCUUGCAGUUUCAGCCUUCAUGCGUCAAGCAGAGGUGCACACGGAAGAAGUCCAGAGCUUGAGAUCCUCA